rnacentral:rRNA from 1 species
GACGAACGCUGGCGGCGUGCCUAAUACAUGCAAGUAGAACGCAGUUGCGAACGGGUUAGUAACUCGUAGGUAACUGCCUCAUAGCGGGGGAUAACUAUUGGAAACGAUAGCUAAUACCACAUACUGUGAGAUGGACCUUCGUUGUAUUAGCUAGUUGGUGAGGUAAAGGCUCACCAAGGCGACGAUACAUAGCCGAACGGAGAGGGGGAUCGGCCACACUGAGACGGAGACACGGACCAGACACCGACGGUAGGAAGCAGUAGGGAAUAUUCGGAAAUGGACGGCAGUCGGACCGAGCAACGCAGCGUGAGUGAAGAAGGUUCUCGGAGCGUAAAGCUCUGUUGUUAGAGAAGCGGUGACUAGCCAGAAAGGGACGGCUAACUACGUGCCAGCAGCCGCGGUAAUUC